ensembl:lncRNA LINC02808 long intergenic non-protein coding RNA 2808
GUGUCAUGUCACAAUUAAGGGUGGGGCCUCUGGAGCCAGUCUUCCCAAGGUGAAAUCCUAACUUUGCCACUUACUAGCCAUGUGAACUUGGGCAAGUGACCUAAUCCUCUGCAUUUCAUCUCUAAAUUGGGGAGAAUAGAAGCAUCUACUUCAUGUAGUAGCCAGGAUUAGAAGAGGGAGGAAUAACUGGGCCCUGGAUAGAAUGUGAUGAAUGUAUAUUCUUAAUGAGAAGUGGAAAUAAUUUGUGGUUGAGAGCUGUGCCUCAGAUCAGAGUGACAGGAUACAUGGCUAGGCUAUAUUUUCCAGCAGAUUAAGAGCUGCGGCCCAAGACUCUGAAAUAUGAAGAAAAAAGGAGAAGAUGACAGCAUAUCUUUUUAAAGAAAUAUUUUCCAGCCAAAUGGUGUAGCAGAGGACUUCCAGGAAUUUGUUCUUGUUCUGUAUCAAAGGUGAAGAGUUCGUAGCCUUCAAGGAAACAAGAAACCAUGGGAUGGAGUGAAGGAAGGUGGCCUGGAACCAGCUGCUGAGCCUCUCUGAGCCCCAGUUUCCUCGUCUCUAAAAUGGGGCUGAUCUCCUCUCCCUCAGACUGUUGUUGCAGGAAUUAAAACAGGUGUUGAGUGGGAAAGCAUCAGUCCCAUAGCAAAUGGCC